rfam:Campylobacter sp. NCTC 13003, complete genome.
GGGGGUGACUUGGCUUCGACAGGAGUAGUGAGGUCACGGUGGCAUGCAGCUUUUGGCAUAGCUUAAAAAGCCUAAAUAAAAUUAAACGCAAACAACGUUAAAUUCGCUCCUGCUUACGCUAAAGCUGCGUAAGUUCAGUUGAGCCUUGCUAUUUGGCGAUACUAUCUAGCUAAAUCAGCGAGUAAUCUUAGAUAGUGUAGCUUUGCUAUUUGACGAGUAGUAAGGUGAAAUUUAGUCUUAGCUUGGCUAGUUGUUUUGGGAAGUGAGCACGGCUGGGUGAAAUUUUCACUUCUGCUAAGCAUGUAGAGGCUGUGGGUUUGUUAUUUUUGGACUGCGGUUCGAUCCCGCACACCUCCACCA